CAGGGAGACAACAAAAUGUUUAAUAUUAUUAUUUUGUCACCUUAGGUCGAUCGGUAUCUCACGUUCUUAAUUUAUUAAGAAUUUCAUUUCCUGAGUUUUUCUAGGUCACACCCAUUAUUUUCCUGGGCCAUUAGCUCAGGUGGUUAGAGCGCACCCCUGAUAAGGGUGAGGUCCCUGGUUCAAGUCCAGGAUGGCCCAUAUCUCUAUGUUGGGGGUAUAGCUCAGUUGGUAGAGCGCCUGCUUUGCAAGCAGGAUGUCAGCGGUUCGAGUCCGCUUACCUCCACUGAUUACCACCUCUUCCAUAAUCGAUAGAAAGGAAAUUUUUUGAGUUGUGAUCUAAUUCUGAACGAAUCUAGCUUCCUAAUGAAAUUAUUAAGAUGCUGGACUCAUUGAAUUAAUUUCAUUGUUUUCAGAGAACCUUGACAACUGCAUAGAUUAUUUUUAAAGACAAUAAGCAUCUUUAAUGAUGCAGAUUUAUUAUUUGUGCGAAUGCAUUAAUAACAAUUCUAUUAAGCUGAUGCUUCAAUUAUGAAGUUAUU
rnacentral:tRNA from 1 species